rnacentral:pre_miRNA from 1 species
UUCAACCAUCACGGCACUAUUGGGUUAAACACCCAAGGUCGAGGUGAUUGAA